rnacentral:rRNA from 1 species
ACGGAAGGCAGCAGUGGGGAAUAUUGCACAAUGGGGGAAACCCUGAUGCAGCAACGCCGCGUGAGUGAAGAAGUAUUUCGGUAUGUAAAGCUCUAUCAGCAGGGAAGAUAAUGACGGUACCUGACUAAGAAGCUCCGGCUAAAUACGUGCCAGCAGCCGCGGUAAUACGUAUGGAGCAGCGUUAUCCGGAUUUACUGGGUGUAAAGGGUGUGUAGGCGGCAUGGCAAGUCAGAUGUGAAAGACCGGGGCUCAACUCCGGGGCUGCAUUUGAAACUGUCAGGCUGGAGUACAGGAGAGGCAGGCGGAAUUCCUAGUGUAGCGGUGAAAUGCGUAGAUAUUAGGAGGAACACCAGUGGCGAAGGCGGCCUGCUGGACUGUUACUGACGCUGAGGCACGAAAGCGUGGGGAGCAAACAGGAUUAGAUACCCUGGUA